GGGGAGGGUCAUUGGAAACUGGGGAACUUGAGUGCAGAAGAGGAGAGUGGAAUUCCACGUGUAGCGGUGAAAUGCGUAGAGAUGUGGAGGAACACCAGUGGCGAAGGCGACUCUCUGGUCUGUAACUGACGCUGAGGAGCGAAAGCGUGGGGAGCGAACAGGAUUAGAUACCCUGGUAGUCCACGCCGUAAACGAUGAGUGCUAAGUGUUAGGGGGUUUCCGCCCCUUAGUGCUGCAGCUAACGCAUUAAGCACUCCGCCUGGGGAGUACGGUCGCAAGACUGAAACUCAAAGGAAUUGACGGGGGC
rnacentral:rRNA from 1 species